rnacentral:rRNA from 1 species
GGAGGCAGCAGUGGGGAAUUUUCCGCAAUGGGCGAAAGCCUGACGGAGCAAGACCGCGUGGGGGAGGAAGGCUCUUGGGUUGUAAACCCCUUUUCUCAAGGAAGAACACAAUGACGGUACUUGAGGAAUAAGCCUCGGCUAACUCCGUGCCAGCAGCCGCGGUAAUACGGAGGAGGCAAGCGUUAUCCGGAAUGAUUGGGCGUAAAGCGUCCGUAGGUGGCUGUUCAAGUCUGCUGUCAAAGACAGUGGCUUAACUACUGAAAGGCAGUGGAAACUGAACAGCUAGAGUACGGUAGGGGCAGAGGGAAUUCCCGGUGUAGCGGUGAAAUGCGUAGAUAUCGGGAAGAACACCGGUGGCGAAAGCGCUCUGCUGGGCCGUAACUGACACUGAGGGACGAAAGCUAGGGGAGCGAAUGGGAUUAGAUACCCCAGUAGUCCUAGCCGUAAACGAUGGAAACUAGGUGUAGCCUGUAUCGACC